rnacentral:rRNA from 1 species
UACGUAGGGGGCAAGCGUUGUCCGGAUUUAUUGGGCGUAAAGAGCGUGUAGGCGGCCUGGAAGGUCAGCUGUGAAAACUCGAGGCUCAACCUCGAGACGUCGGUUGAAACCACCUGGCUAGAGUCCGGAAGAGGAGAGUGGAAUUCCCGGUGUAGCGGUGAAAUGCGUAGAGAUCGGAAGGAACACCAGUGGCGAAGGCGACUGUCUGGCCAGAUACUGACGCUGAGGCGCGAAAGCGAGGGGAGCAAACAGG